GCAGCGCGAGGAACACGAUGAACAGGAUGAGCUUCCGUGAGUGGCGGCUCUCCAGCAGCCGGCGGAGCAGCGCCAGCUCGCUCAGGGCCAUGGCUCCGAGGCCGGGCUGCGGGCGCGGCGCGCGGUGAGGGGCCGCGGCGGGUGUCGGGGGCUCCCGGCGCCCGCAACGCCCCGACCUCACCGGGGCGGAAGGAACGGUCCCGGGGCCGCGCGAACGGGCGUCCCAGCCUCGGUUCACCUGCGGCGGGNNNNNGGGCGCGUUCUCGGGGGCACCUGCGCUCCGGAUCCUUGCCGCCCGCGAGCGGCGUCGGGGCCCCCCCAACCCGGGGCCGGCGGGGGGCGGUCCCGCUCUCCGCCGCCCUCGAGGUCCCACUCCUGCCACCGAGCGCUCCCAAAGCGCCGCGGGCCCCCGCGCCCCGUGCGUCCUGCGCCCCGGCGUCCCCCCCCCCCCCCCCCCCCCCCCGGCCGCCCCGGAGACGGAGACCCUCCCGCCCCUGGGGUUCUUCCCCGCCCUCCGCCGGGCCCCGCUGUCCCCGCGCCGGGUCCCGCGUUACCUCGGGGUCGCCUGCCCUGCGCCGUGGGCUCCGUCCGUCCGCGCGGCUCCGGGUAGCGGUCUCCACCCCAGCGCCCCGCGCCGCCGCCGCCCGCUUUAGCCGGUCCGGCUCUGACGUCACGGCCGACGGGGGCGGGAGGGCGUCACCUUCCAGCCCCGGCCUCAGCCCCCCGCCCGGACCAGCGCUGGCCUACCCGGCUCUCCGCCCCCGACCGACGGCGCCCCAUCCGGCUCCACCGACGGUGCCCCAUCCGGAGCCGCCCGGGGGUGGGGGGGGGAGGGAAGGGGGGGCGUCAAGGGAAGAAGUCAGGGCCCCCACAGCGGACGUCAAGAGUCCUGGGGUUAAGGUCAGGGGCCAAGAUGAGGAGUCGGGGAUGAGUGCUUUCACCUGGUCCCAGGUAGGGGCUGGCUGCAGCUGCUCUUUGAGCCUCGUGCCCCUGAGCUUGGCCGUGAGGACCUGAAGGCUGAUGGAUGAGAGUGCCAGGGAAGGGGCUCAGAGGGUGUUGGGAGCCAGGGACAGAUCUCUGGGAGGGAAGCCACUCAGCACCCCGCGGCUCCCGUGCUCGCCCACCCCUAGAGCAGGAUGCAGGGUGUCACUGUGAGCCUUUGGGUACCCUCGAGUAGGAGAUGCGGAAACAGGGAGAAAGGGGACACCUCUCAGUGUCACCGCUCCCCACCCCGCUCCCCACUGGGAGGAUGUGAAGACCCCAGGCCCUGGAGCCUAGGACUCAGGAAGUAGGAGCAGCAGGCCUGGGCCUCUGGGGCCACCAGGAGUAUGUCACCCUGGACAGAGGACACUAGAGGCCAGGAAAGUGCGAGGCCUCUCAGUAGAAGGACUGAGGAGGCAGCCGGCCCAGACCCUGUGCGCUGCAGUCCUCUGCUGUGCACGGUGCCCGCGGAGUCUGGUCAAGACAGGCACGGUGCCUGCUGGGGGGUGAUGGGCAGCUGUAAUCCUCACUUGCCAGGGGUAAGAACCCACCUUUGAGAAACAAACGGAUGUCCCCCUGACGUAGCUGGACCUUUGGAGGUCCUUCUAGGCGGUGGGAGGGACCGGAGCCGUUUCCCUGGAAAGCCACUUCGAAUCGAUGUUACCCUGCUGCGGCCUCCCAGCAGCGGAGCCCGGCCUUGUUUUAUUAAUCUUGGCUUCUUGUCAGGUGGAGGCUGCUCACAGCAGAGGGUGAUGAGUGGUGCUCCCCGCCCUCUCCCCUCCUCCCUUCCGCGCACCCCCUAUGCUUCCCACCGCUGCCCCUGAUGUGUGAGAAAGAUGGCUGGAUAAGUAAGUAGGUCAGUAACAUGGGGACUCCGGGAUGUCCCAGGAUGUGUCACCUUAAAUAUUAAACAGAGAAGGAAAACCGCUUAGGAGGAGAGAGCAGAUGGCAGGGAGCCGCGGAGAUGGCUGUGGAGGGUAUCACACUCAGGAAAGCGCCUGGAGUUUCAGAGCCCAGAGAAUCUGA
rnacentral:lncRNA from 1 species